AGAGUUUGAUCCUGGCUCAGAUUGAACGCUGGCGGCAGGCCUAACACAUGCAAGUCGAGCGGAAACGACUUAACUGAACCUUCGGGGAACGUUAAGGGCGUCGAGCGGCGGACGGGUGAGUAAUGCCUAGGAAAUUGCCUUGAUGUGGGGGAUAACCAUUGGAAACGAUGGCUAAUACCGCAUAAUGCCUACGGGCCAAAGAGGGGGACCUUCGGGCCUCUCGCGUCAAGAUAUGCCUAGGUGGGAUUAGCUAGUUGGUGAGGUAAUGGCUCACCAAGGCGACGAUCCCUAGCUGGUCUGAGAGGAUGAUCAGCCACACUGGAACUGAGACACGGUCCAGACUCCUACGGGAGGCAGCAGUGGGGAAUAUUGCACAAUGGGCGAAAGCCUGAUGCAGCCAUGCCGCGUGUAUGAAGAAGGCCUUCGGGUUCGGAAGUACUUUCAGUUGUGAGGAAGGGGGUAGUGUUAAUAGCGCUAUCUCUUGACGUUAGCAACAGAAGAAGCACCGGCUAACUCCGUGCCAGCAGCCGCGGUAAU
rnacentral:rRNA from 1 species